GGUUAUUAUUAAUGGAAACCCUAAUUUCUUCAUUUCUCGGUGUAUAUCAAUGAAAACUCCAAUGGAGAUCGACGCCACCAAAUGCCAACCACCUACCGUGGAGGUCAACGCCACCAAAUGCCAGCCACCCACCCUGGAGAUCGACGCCACCGAAUGCCAUUGGUUCUUCUUUACCCAUUUACCGUUUUAUCUCUAGGGUUUUAAAAGAAAUGUUUGGAUCUGGAUAAACACGAUCAGAAAAAAUAGUUUCUGAUUUGAAACAGAUUUGCAACAUAUCAUGAAACCACAUUGAUUUUGGUUAGGUCAAGGGGAAAAACGUCAACAUCACAAAAAAUUCACCAGAUCACCAAACUAUGAAAACACAAUCAAGACCACCAAAUCAGACCAAUGAAAACAAGACAAACCAGUAACCGAGAAGCAGCCAACACACAUGAAGGGGCGAAAAUGUCAAGAGUCCAAAAAAAUCAAGAUACUCUGAAAUGCCAUCACAAAAAGCACCAAACCUAUGAGAACUGUGGUACUGUCAAUCGGUUUUUAAAUCAUUGUUUUUUGUUUUUUGAUCAAAAGAAGAACUACUAACUAUAAUGUUUGCUUUGAUUUGAAGAUGGAUCAAAUGA